rnacentral:rRNA from 1 species
GACGAACGCUGGCGGCGUGCUUAACACAUGCAAGUGGAGCGACGAACCAGGGCUUGCCCUGGGGCAGAGCCGCGAACGGGUGAGUAACACGUGGGUAACGUGCCCCGAUGACUGGGACAACCCGGGGAAACACGGGCUAAUACCGGAUGUGCCCCCUCACAUCAGUGAGGUGUGUAAAGGAAGCUUCGGCCUCCGCAUCGGGAUCGGCCCGCGGCCCAUUAGCUUGUUGGUGAGGUAACGGCCCACCAAGGCUGCGAUGGGUAGCUGGUCUGAGAGGACGAUCAGCCACACUGGGACUGAGACACGGCCCAGACUCCUACGGGAGGCAGCAGUGGGGAAUCUUGCGCAAUGCGCGAAAGCGUGACGCAGCAACGCCGCGUGGGGGAAGACGGCCUUCGGGUUGUAAACCCCUUUCAGUUGGGACGAAGGUCGGGCGGUUAACAGCCGUUCCGGCUGACGGUACCUGCACAAGAAGCCCCGGCUAACUACGUG